GUCAGAGACCAUUCAGGAGAGCGCAAAAACAGCUUCAGUACAGCACAUUUGGUCCAUUCCGGGAAGGUUCAGUUGUGUUUAUCCCAACAGGUUUACAGGACAGAGAGCUGAGGCGUAGCUACAGCACACAUCUGCUACAAGGCAGCUGUUAAGUCCCAUAAUGUAGAUCCUACAGUCAUGGGGUGAGGGUGGUGGACAAAGGUUCUGUGCUUCAGGAAGCAACUAAACCCCCAUCAACGUUUCCACCCCCCCCAUCUCACCACCAUCCUCCAGUCCCUAAGGGUUCAAGCACCCAAAUCAAUUGAAAGAAAGAAGAGUGCACUGUGGUCCUCCCCCUACAUCUGUCAGGGAGGGAAUGCAGGAGGGGCUGCACUCAUGGGCCGUACAGAGGAACAAUAUCACUCCAUCUGUCACAAACCGUUUCAUCUCUGAUGGGAUGAAAUAUAGCUCACACAUACAUCUAACUCUAUAUCAUCUACGUGUAUUAGCUUACUGGUGCCCAAGCCUCUACCAAUUCCCAGAAGUAUAUGCAGUGGCUUUUUGUCUCAUAUUACCUUCCUCCCACCAGCAAGCACUCUCCAACCACCUUGCAAAUUAUGCUUUUAAGCCAAACAGCAUGUUAAAAGAAAUUAUUCCACUUUACACAGUGAACCAGUUAAUGAAAAAAAAAAAAGACUACCAAGUAACAAAAUUUGCAUGUAAAAAGUUCUUGCAUGAAUGUGUAGAGCAGUGAACCUAAAAGCUUGAUGGAAGAGAAAGCACAUAUUGUAUUUGGAAGAAAUACUGCAAAAAAAAAAAAA